GUAGGGAAUCUUCGGCAAUGGGGGCAACCCUGACCGAGCAACGCCGCGUGAGUGAAGAAGGUUUUCGGAUCGUAAAGCUCUGUUGUAAGUCAAGAACGAGUGUGAGAGUGGAAAGUUCACACUGUGACGGUAGCUUACCAGAAAGGGACGGCUAACUACGUGCCAGCAGCCGCGGUAAUACGUAGGUCCCGAGCGUUGUCCGGAUUUAUUGGGCGUAAAGCGAGCGCAGGCGGUUUGAUAAGUCUGAAGUUAAAGGCUGUGGCUCAACCAUAGUUCGCUUUGGAAACUGUCAAACUUGAGUGCAGAAGGGGAGAGUGGAAUUCCAUGUGUAGCGGUGAAAUGCGUAGAUAUAUGGAGGAACACCGGUGGCGAAAGCGGCUCUCUGGUCUGUAACUGACGCUGAGGCUCGAAAGUGUGGGUAGCAAACAGGAUUAGAAACCCUUGUAGUCC
rnacentral:rRNA from 1 species